UGAGUAGAAAUUCGAGAAUCUAAGAGAAACCGACUGUAUUGUCCUGGAGAUUAUAAUGUAGGAGAUGUGAAGUAGGAUUGUGAGUGGGACAGGAUUGUGAUUAUUUGUUUGCGAUGUAAAGCAAAGGUAAAACCACUGGGUGUGGUAAAAUUGGGUGUUUCCAUGACUUGUAGUAGAUUAUACUAUAGGAAUGUGUUAUUAGGAUUUUGUGAAGAGAGUACAUAAUGAUUGUGAUGUAAGCAGAGAGAUACAAACCACUGCUUGUGGAACGACGAGUGUUAUUAUUAUUGGCAACAACUGAGCACAUAUUGUAGUAUUAUGUUUAAGACAUGUCGUUUGUCAUAUGUUGUAUCCAUUGCUGAAUAUGCCAGUGUUAUGAUCGUCUGAGCAUAGAAUAUUGCGUAAGGCAAUUACUUUCAUUUAAUUUUAAAUAAAUGUAUAUUAUCUUUUUCCCUUGUUUAUCCCCGAACACCAGCCUCCAAUAACAACUUAAGCCGGAUCACGCUACCAGGGAUACGAGACGGUGAGAUCAUUUAUGGAUUAAUUAAUGAGUGAUAAAAGAGUUGAUUUAAUACAAGAAAAGAAGGGUCUAAAACUGGUGGCAGCGGUGGGAUAAAUAGGGACAUGUGCUUACAGUGCUUUUGUUUAAUUUACUCUGACGAGAAAACGCCUCUUAUUUUCAUUAAGCUUUGCUCGUUUUAAGUGGCGGAAAUAAUAGUGACGAUUUAAUUAUAUAAUUAAUGGUUCUUCCGGAGGACAUGGACUUUGACGAUAUGGUAAUGGAAACUCUGGCCAACCACUGUUGUUCUGUAGUGCAAUGGGUAGCACACGCGACUCAACCGAGAAUUCAUGAGUUCCUUCCCGGGCGGAGUGGAGAGGGAUGGGCAGUCUCUCUCCACACGCGCCGCGAUCCAUUCAUCAGUGAGAGGGUGUCAGGUGACAGGCAGCGGCAGCGUCCUGCCUCUCAGGUUUGUUUGUUUUAGGAUUGUUACCCCAGGAUGGAGGGGAACACGGGGCUCUACGCCUCACAGGGUGGAGGUGUGCCGCGGCGGGCAUGCAGCCAUAGAGUGACUUUAUAAAGGCCUAACCCGCGUCCCCCAGGUUCUCUUCGCAGUGCUGAGUCCAUCCCCCUACAGGAGCUAACAGCUGGCUUGCAGCCCCUAAAUUAUGUGGUCGAGCCGGAUCAGCCCUUUCAACCCGCAAUCCAUUGGUGGAUUGUCUUCGCCAUUGUCGUGAUCCUGGUUCUUCUGCUGGUGACGUCUGCCGUGGGGUAUUCCUAUGUCCUACGCUACGCACGACGCCGCCUAAUUCCAGACUCGAACCAACUGCAGACAUUGCAAGGCGUAUCUUCUCCACCAACACCUGUGAGAUCUCAGGGGCGAGAUCUUCCGGAAGGGGAAGUAAUGUCAGGACCCAGAAAACGAGGAAACAGAGGAGUGAGAUAUACAACUGUGUAAACACCUGACAGGACAAACACUAACAAAAAGGGUGACAUAUAUAUAAGUGUAAACAUCUCAAGUACAAAAGAGGGGAAACAACGAGGGUAAAGGAAAACAGAUACCCAGAGAGGAAAGGCAGGUAUACAACUGUGUAGACAUCUGACAGGACAAACACUAACAAAAAAAGUGACAUAUAUAACAGUGUAAGCAUCUCAAGUACCAAAGAGGGGAAACAACGAGGGUAAAGGAAAACAGAUACCCAGACUCAGAUACAGAAAACAGAUGCCCAGUGGGCGUGGUCAGAAAGUGUGAACAACCAUUGAAAAAGACUCUGACCCGUGACGUCAGUCGUGGCGACAUGUUAUGAGCCAAUAAUUUAACAGAAAAAUCACUGAGGGAGUGUCUUAAGACUGACUCACGAAUAGCAGGAGAAGUAAAACAAUACAACAUAAUGAGCGAGCAGAUGGGUGUGACAGGAAGUAUUGGCCAUUGGUUAUGUAGAAAAUUAAGGGCGUGUCAAGGAUGUAAGUCCGCCUAAAGCAAAGAAAAAUGUGGCCUAGAAAUCAGUGAUAUAGGUAGACCGAGCUUGGUUCUCGCCUCAAGCAGACCUGCUACUCACUCAGCCGAGAAUGGCUGUUGUGAUCUUAAUCGUGAGUAGAAAUUCGAGAAUCUAAGGGAAACCGACUGUAUUGUCCUGGAGAUUAUAAUGUAGGAGAUGUGAAGUAGGAUUGUGAGUGGGACAGGAUUGUGAUUAUUUGUUUGCGAUGUAAAGCAAAGGUAAAACCACUGGGUGUGGUAAAAUUGGGUGUUUCCAUGACUUGUAGUAGAUUAUACUAUAGGAAUGUGUUAUUAGGAUUUUGUGAAGAGAGUACAUAAUGAUUGUGAUGUAAGCAGAGAGAUACAAACCACUGCUUGUGGAACGACGAGUGUUAUUAUUAUUGGCAACAACUGAGCACAUAUUGUAGUAUUAUGUUUAAGACAUGUCGUUUGUCAUAUGUUGUAUCCAUUGCUGAAUAUGCCAGUGUUAUGAUCGUCUGAGCAUAGAAUAUUGCGUAAGGCAAUUACUUUCAUUUAAUUUUAAAUAAAUGUAUAUUAUCUUUUUCCCUUGUUUAUCCCCGAACACCAGCCUCCAAUAACAACUUAAGCCGGAUCACGCUACCAGGGAUACGAGACGGUGAGAUCAUUUAUGGAUUAAUUAAUGAGUGAUAAAAGAGUUGAUUUAAUACAAGAAA